rnacentral:rRNA from 1 species
UACGAAGGGGGCUAGCGUUGUUCGGAAUUACUGGGCAUAAAGCGCACGUAGGUGGUCCACUAAGUCGAGUGUGAAAUCCCCCGGCUCAACCGGGGAAUUGCGCUCGAUACUGGCGGGCUAGAGGUCGAUAGGGGUGAGCGGAACUCCAGGUGGAGCGGUGAAAUGCGUAGAUAUCUGGAGGAACACCGGUGGCGAAAGCGGCUCACUGGAUCGAAACUGACACUGAGGUGCGAAAGCUAGGGUAGCAAACGGGAGUUAGA